UAAAUACUCCCGAGAGACCGAUAGCGAACCAGUACCGUGAGGGAAAGGUGAAAAGAACCCCGAGCAGGGGAGUGAAAUAGACCCUGAACCCGUCUGCCUACAAGCGGUCGGAGCGUCGUAAUGACGUGACGGCGUGCCUUUUGCAUAAUGAACCUACGAGUUACCUUCCCCGGCAAGGUUAAGUACCUAAGGUACGGAGCCGAAGCGAAAGCGAGUCUGAACAGGGCGCCAAGUCGGGGGGGGUAGACGCGAAACCGAGUGAUCUACCCUUGGCCAGGUUGAAGGUUGGGUAACACCAACUGGAGGACCGGAUGGGUAAGCGUUGAAAAGCUUUCCAAUGAGCUGAGGGUAGGGGUGAAAGGCUAAUCAAACUCGGAGAUAGCUCGUACUCCCCGAAAUGCAUUUAGGUGCAGCCUCUUUAUAGUAUAUCGUGAGGUAGAGCGACUGAUUGGAUGCGAGGGCUUCACCGCCUAUCAAGUCCAGAUAAACUCCGAAUGCGCGAUAUAUAUUUACAGGGAGUGAGGGCGCGGGUGCUAAGGUCCGUGUCCGAGAGGAGAAGAAUCCAGACCACCGGCUAAGGCCCCCAAAUGAUCGUUAAGUUGAACUAACGAGGUCGGAUCGCAGAGACAGCUAGGAUGUUGGCUUGGAAGCAGCCAUUCAUUUAAAGAGUGCGUAACAGCUCACUAGUCGAGCGAUCUGGCGUGGAUAAUAAUCGGGCAUAAACGAUCUGCCGAAGCCGUGGAUGUCGCAAGACAUGGUAGGGGAGCAUUCCAUGCCGCGUCGAAGAUGAGGGGUGACCCUUGUUGGAGCGCAUGGAAAAGCAAAUGUAGGUAUGAGUAACGAUAAGGGGGGCGAGAAACCCCCCCGCCGAAAGACCAAGGUUUCCUGAUCAACGCUAAUCGGAUCAGGGUGAGUCGGGACCUAAGGCAAAGCCGAACGGCGCCGCCGAUGGAAGAAUGGGUUAAUAUUCCCAUACUGCCUCAUGGAGUGACGUGGAGACGGAGAAGUGACAGUCCUGCCGGCUGACGGAAUAGCCGGUUGAAGGGUGUAGAUAUUGAUUCCCGUAGGCAAAUCCGCGGGGAGAGUCGAACCUGAGAGUAUACGGAGCGCUUGCGCAACGUAAUAUGGACGUAACCAUGCUCCCGAGAAAAUCCGCUAAACUUAUCCAUGCGGCACCCGUACCGUAAACGGACACACGUGGUCGGGUUGAGAAUACUGAGGCGCUCGAGUGAUUCACGGUUAAGGAACUAGGCAAAUUGACCCUGUAACUUCGGGAUAAAGGGUCCUCGUCGUAAGGCGAGGCGCAGAGAAUAGGUCCAGGCAACUGUUUAACAAAAACACAUGGCUGUGCUAAAUGGAAACAUGAUGUAUACAGCCUGACACCUGCCCGGUGCCGGAAGGUUAAGAGGAGAUGUCAUCCGCGAGGAGAAGCGUUGAAUUGAAGCCCCGGUAAACGGCGGCCGUAACUAUAACGGUCCUAAGGUAGCGAAAUUCCUUGUCGGGU
rnacentral:rRNA from 1 species